CCCCACUGCUAUCGGGAUGGGACUAAGACAUGCUAGUCGAGCGCCUUCUAGCCACGACGAAGGCGCGGCGCACAGCUCAGUAACACGUGGCUAACCUGCCCUUGGGAUAGGAACACCCCCGGGAAACUGGGGCCAAUUCCCAAUAGGCGAAGAACUCUGGAAUGAGUCUUCACCAGAGAGGACGUUUGCGUCAUGCUCGCAGGCGUCGCCUAAGGAUGGGGCCGCGACCGAUCAGGUUGUUGGUGAGGUAAUGGCCCACCAAGCCUAUAACCGGUGCGGGCCGUGAGAGCGGGAGCCCGGAGAUGGGCACUGAGACAAGGGCCCAGGUCCUACGGGGCGCAGCAGUCGCGAAAACUUUGCAAUACACGAAAGUGUGACAGGGUCAUCCCGAGUGCCGACCGCUGAGGUUGGCUUUUACCCAGUCUAGAAAGCUGGGGGAAUAAGGAGAGGGCAAGUCUGGUGUCAGCCGCCGCGGUAAUACCAGCUCCCCGAGUGGUGUGGACGUUUAUUGGGCCUAAAGCAUCCGUAGCUGGCUGAACAAGUCCCCUGUUAAACCCACCGAUUUAAUCGUUGGUCUGCGGGGGAUACUGCUCGGCUAGGGGACGAGAGAGGCAGACGGUAUUCCCGGGGUAGGGGUGAAAUCCUAUAAUCCCGAGAAGACCACCAGUGGCGAAGGCUGUCUGCUAGAACGCGCCCGACGGUGAGGGAUGAAAGCUGGGGGAGCGAACCGGAUUAGAUACCCGGGUAGUCCCAGCUGUAAACGAUGCAGACUAGGUGUUUGGACGGCCACGUGCCGUUCUAGUGCCGCAGGGAAGCUGUUAAGUCUGCCGCCUGGGGAGUACGAUCGCAAGAUUGAAACUUAAAGGAAUUGGCGGGGGAGCACCACAAGGGGUGAAGCUUGCGGUUU
rnacentral:rRNA from 1 species